UACGUAGGGUGCAAGCGUUGCCCGGAUUUAUUGGGCGUAAAGGGCGCGUAGGCGGCUCGGCACGUCCGUUGUGAAAUCGCCCGGCUCAACUGGGCGGGGUCAGCGGAUACGGUCGAGCUUGAGCAAGCUAGGGGGCAAUGGAAUUCCCGGUGUAGUGGUGGAAUGCGUAGAUAUCGGGAGGAACACCGGCGGCGAAGGCGGCGAUCUGGGUCGAGACUGACGCUGAGGCGCGAAAGCGUGGGGAGCAAACAGG
rnacentral:rRNA from 1 species